rnacentral:rRNA from 1 species
GUGAGGAAUAUUGGUCAAUGGACGAGAGUCUGAACCAGCCAAGUCGCGUGAAGGAAGAAGGAUCUAUGGUUCGUAAACUUCUUUUGCAGGGGAAUAAAGUGCGGGACGUGUCCUGUUUUGUAUGUACCCUGAGAAUAAGGAUCGGCUAACUCCGUGCCAGCAGCCGCGGUAAUACGGAGGAUCCGAGCGUUAUCCGGAUUUACCGGGUUUAAAGGGUUCGUAGGUGGUUUGAUAAGUCAGCGGUGAAAGUUUGCAGCUUAACUGUAAAAAUGCCGUUGAAACUGUCGGACUUGAGUGUAAAUGAGGUAGGCGGAAUGCGUGGUGUAGCGGUGAAAUGCAUAGAUGUCACGCAGAACUCCGAUUGCGAAGGCAGCUUACUAAGCUACAACUGACACUGAAGCACGAAAGCGUGGGGAUCAAACAGGAUUAGAUACCCGAGUAGUCC